GUGGGCAGGAUGGUGGCUUCACCUGAUGCAGUGCACACCUCCAACAGGCAUCAGAUGGAAUGCACUGGGAGCAAGAUUCUCAUAGCAAUGACAAAGAUCCACAACACUGUCCACCACGCAGCCGGGACUCGAUGUUGUGGGUCCAGUCGAGGCGGAGAGGAGCCAGGAAGACAGGACAGGCCAGCUCCUUGCCUGGUGGCUGAGGAUUUCUGGUCGUGAGCUUGGGGGACUUCGCAGGGCCGGAGGGGGAGGGUACCUUUCCUAACAGCGACACCCUGUGGUGUUGGCCGCUGCAGCAGACACUCAGGUGACUUGUCUGUCUGUCUCCUUGAGAUGCUGUGACCAGGGCUUGACCUUUGGACUGAGAGAGCAUCCGCUGGGCCGGGGGUCUUGGAGUUAUUUGGAAGGAGGACCCUGAGAUUUCUUUGAGAGAUGACCUAAUUGAAGAAGCAAGAGGACAUGACCUUGCUUCAUGCUCCAAGCAGCUGACCUUGGAAUCUGGUUAUAAAUGCGUCUGUGCCUUUCUUGGACAAAGCAGUUUUUGCUUCUGUGUGUGUGUGUCUGUCCACUGGCCCAGGGGAGUGUUCCAUCCUCAGGUCCCUGAAGCAUAUCCCAGCAGGGCAGGGUUGGUCCCAAAGGCCAUGUGGGCUGCGUGAUGACCAACUGGCCCUGUGCGCCUGUGGAGCGAGGGAGGAGAAAUGGCCAAGCUCAGCUGAGCACACCCGGCCUGAGGGCCCAGGUGUGCCCUGAGAGUCGAGGGCAGAUGUAGGGGGGAGUUGGGCCUUUUUAAUCAUAGAAGCAACUGCCCGCCUGCCACAGUCAAUGCUAAGCUCCUCAAACGUCUUGCAAGCUGCUUGCUCAGGCCUCCGACUCAGGAUUGAACUGCAUGUGGCAUGCUCCCGCUACAAAGAAGCCCACAUCCUGGCUGCUCCGGAACAUUCCUCAGCCUCGCUGGCAUUUGCCUCUGGACGCGUGGCCUUGAGCCUGACCCCUCGAGUUUAUCCCAGCGCUUGGUGACGAGACCCCACAUACUGCACAGGAGGACAGGCAGAGGGUCAGCCAGAGCCUGGGAUGUGGAAGCGCCACCUCCCUUUGCAGGCUGUGUGUCUUUGG